UACGUAGGUGGCAAGCGUUGUCCGGAAUUAUUGGGCGUAAAGCGCGCUCAGGUGGUUUCUUAAGUCUGAUGUGAAAGCCCACGGCUCAACCGUGGAGGGUCAUUGGAAACUGGGGAACUUGAGUGCAGAAGAGGAAAGUGGAAUUCCAAGUGUAGCGGUGAAAUGCGUAGAGAUUUGGAGGAACACCAGUGGCGAAGGCGACUUUCUGGACCGUGGCUGACGCUGAGGCGCGAAAGCGUGGGGAGCGAACGGG
rnacentral:rRNA from 1 species